rnacentral:rRNA from 1 species
GAUGAACGCUGGCGGCGUGCCUAAUACAUGCAAGUCGAGCGAACGGACGAGAAGCUUGCUUCUCUGAUGUUAGCGGCGGACGGGUGAGUAACACGUGGAUAACCUACCUAUAAGACUGGGAUAACUUCGGGAAACCGGAGCUAAUACCGGAUAAUAUUUUGAACCGCAUGGUUCAAAAGUGAAAGACGGUCUUGCUGUCACUUAUAGAUGGAUCCGCGCUGCAUUAGCUAGUUGGUAAGGUAACGGCUUACCAAGGCAACGAUGCAUAGCCGACCUGAGAGGGUGAUCGGCCACACUGGAACUGAGACACGGUCCAGACUCCUACGGGAGGCAGCAGUAGGGAAUCUUCCGCAAUGGGCGAAAGCCUGACGGAGCAACGCCGCGUGAGUGAUGAAGGUCUUCGGAUCGUAAAACUCUGUUAUUAGGGAAGAACAUAUGUGUAAGUAACUGUGCACAUCUUGACGGUACCUAAUCAGAAAGCCACGGCUAACUACGUGCCAGCAGCCGCGGUAAUACGUAGGUGGCAAGCGUUAUCCGGAAUUAUUGGGCGUAAAGCGCGCGUAGGCGGUUUUUUAAGUCUGAUGUGAAAGCCCACGGCUCAACCGUGGAGGGUCAUUGGAAACUGGAAAACUUGAGUGCAGAAGAGGAAAGUGGAAUUCCAUGUGUAGCGGUGAAAUGCGCAGAGAUAUGGAGGAACACCAGUGGCGAAGGCGACUUUCUGGUCUGUAACUGACGCUGAUGUGCGAAAGCGUGGGGAUCAAACAGGAUUAGAUACCCUGGUAGUCCACGCCGUAAACGAUGAGUGCUAAGUGUUAGGGGGUUUCCGCCCCUUAGUGCUGCAGCUAACGCAUUAAGCACUCCGCCUGGGGAGUACGACCGCAAGGUUGAAACUCAAAGGAAUUGACGGGGACCCGCACAAGCGGUGGAGCAUGUGGUUUAAUUCGAAGCAACGCGAAGAACCUUACCAAAUCUUGACAUCCUUUGACAACUCUAGAGAUAGAGCCUUCCCCUUCGGGGGACAAAGUGACAGGUGGUGCAUGGUUGUCGUCAGCUCGUGUCGUGAGAUGUUGGGUUAAGUCCCGCAACGAGCGCAACCCUUAAGCUUAGUUGCCAUCAUUAAGUUGGGCACUCUAAGUUGACUGCCGGUGACAAACCGGAGGGAGGUGGGGAUGACGUCAAAUCAUCAUGCCCCUUAUGAUUUGGGCUACACACGUGCUACAAUGGACAAUACAAAGGGCAGCGAAACUGCGAGGUCAAGCAAAUCCCAUAAAGUUGUUCUCAGUUCGGAUUGUAGUCUGCAACUCGACUACAUGAAGCUGGAAUCGCUAGUAAUCGUAGAUCAGCAUGCUACGGUGAAUACGUUCCCGGGUCU